rnacentral:rRNA from 2 species
AAAUUGAAGAGUUUGAUCAUGGCUCAGAUUGAACGCUGGCGGCAGGCCUAACACAUGCAAGUCGAACGGUAACAGGAAGAAGCUUGCUUCUUUGCUGACGAGUGGCGGACGGGUGAGUAAUGUCUGGGAAACUGCCUGAUGGAG